CUCCAGACUCCUACGGGAGGCAGCAGUGGGGAAUAUUGGGCAAUGGGCGCAAGCCUGACCCAGCAACGCCGCGUGAAGGAAGAAGGCCCUCGGGUUGUAAACUUCUUUUAUUCGGGACGAAACAAAUGACGGUACCGAAUGAAUAAGCCACGGCUAACUACGUGCCAGCAGCCGCGGUAAUACGGAGGGUGCAAGCGUUGUCCGGAAUCAUUGGGCGUAAAGAGUUCGUAGGCGGUAUGUUAAGUCUGGUGUUAAAUGCAGAAGCUCAACUUCUGUUCGGCACUGGAUACUGGCAAACUAGAAUGCGGUAGAGGUAAAGGGAAUUCCUGGUGUAGCGGUGAAAUGCUUAGAUAUCAGGAGGAACAUCGGUGGCGUAAGCGCUUUACUGGGCCGUAAUUGACGCUGAGGAACGAAAGCCAGGGUAGCAAAUGGGAUUAGAUACCCUGGUA
rnacentral:rRNA from 1 species